rnacentral:rRNA from 1 species
UACGUAGGUGGCAAGCGUUGUCCGGAUUUACUGGGCGUAAAGAGCGCGCAGGCGGUCGUUCAAGUCGAGUGUGAAAGCCCCCGGCUCAACUGGGGAGGGUCACUCGAUACUGAUCGACUCGAAGGCAGAAGAGGGAAGCGGAAUUCCCGGUGUAGUGGUGAAAUGCGUAGAUAUCGGGAGGAACACCAGUGGCGAAGGCGGCUUUCUGGUCUGCUCUUGACGCUGAGGCGCGAAAGCUAGGGUAACAAACGGG